GGAAUACACCAAUGCCUAGUACAAUGCCAUUAGAAACCAGAACAAACCAUGGCUGCAAAGGAAAUAAGAUGCACAUAGUCUGAAAGAUCUGGCUGGUGUUCUGAAUAAGAUGACAUAAUAUCUCAAUUGCAGAAGUACAGCUGGCAUGUAGGGGUUUCAACAGCACAUCUUGAUGAAUUGUACCAAAAGAUUUGCUUACACACCACCUGUUUAUAGGAUGCACAAUCUUCUUGCAGCCAUAGAUUAUAAUAUACAUGCAAAUAGACCAUACAUCACCAACAAGGGGGAUCUGUUAGACUUCAGCGAGUCUGGAUGAAUUAAAGAAGAAGAAAAAGUAUCAUUAUACCAUUUUUCAUGAUGCUAUAACUCUGAGAAUUAGUGACAUGGAGGGGAUAUAUAAAAUAGAAGUUAGAGGAAGAUGACCCCCCACAGACUUUCAAAAUAUUUGGCCCAAAGUUAGCCCGAAGCCUACCCGAGCCAUUCAUGAGGAACAUAAAUCAAGAUAUGAUUGACUUUUUAUGGAAAAGAAUGAUAAAUAGUGUGUUACACUGA